rnacentral:rRNA from 1 species
AAGAUUUAUCGCUAUAGGAUGGGCCCGCGUUGGAUUAGCUAGUUGGUGAGGUAAUGGCUCACCAAGGCGACGAUCCAUAGCUGGUCUGAGAGGACGACCAGCCACACUGGGACUGAGACACGGCCCAGACUCCUACGGGAGGCAGCAGUGGGGAAUAUUGGACAAUGGGCGCAAGCCUGAUCCAGCCAUGCCGCGUGAGUGAUGAAGGCCUUAGGGUUGUAAAGCUCUUUUGGCGGGGACGAUAAUGACGGUACCCGCAGAAUAAGUCCCGGCUAACUUCGUGCCAGCAGCCGCGGUAAUACGAAGGGGACUAGCGUUGUUCGGAAUCACUGGGCGUAAAGCGCACGUAGGCGGAUUUGUAAGUCAGGGGUGAAAUCCCGGGGCUCAACCUCGGAACUGCCUUUGAUACUGCGAAUCUCGAGUCCGAUAGAGGUGGGUGGAAUUCCUAGUGUAGAGGUGAAAUUCGUAGAUAUUAGGAAGAACACCGGUGGCGAA